rnacentral:rRNA from 1 species
GACGAACGCUGGCGGCGUGCCUAAUACAUGCAAGUAGAACGCUGAAGGAGGAGCUUGCUCUUCUGGAUGAGUUGCGAACGGGUGAGUAACGCGUAGGUAACCUGCCUGGUAGCGGGGGAUAACUAUUGGAAACGAUAGCUAAUACCGCAUAAGAGUAGAUGUUGCAUGACAUUUGCUUAAAAGGUGCAAUUGCAUCACUACCAGAUGGACCUGCGUUGUAUUAGCUAGUUGGUGGGGUAACGGCUCACCAAGGCGACGAUACAUAGCCGACCUGGGAGGGGGAUCGGCCACACUGGGACUGGGACACGGCCCAGACUCCUACGGGAGGCAGCAGUAGGGAAUCUUCGGCAAUGGACGGAAGUCUGACCGAGCAACGCCGCGUGAGUGAAGAAGGUUUUCGGAUCGUAAAGCUCUGUUGUAAGAGAAGAACGAGUGUGAGAGUGGAAAGUUCACACUGUGACGGUAGCUUACCAGAAAGGGACGGCUAACUACGUG